rnacentral:rRNA from 1 species
UCGUCUAUAUACGUAUAGCAUAUCAAUAAGCGGAGGAAAAGAAACUAACAAGGAUUCCCUUAGUAACGGCGAGUGAAGCGGGAAGAGCUUCAAAUUUGAAAUCUUCAAGGUUCUACCUUGACGAAUUGUAGUUUAAAGAAGUGUUUUCUGUUAGAGGAGUAGGCAAAAGUUCCUUGGAAUAGGACAUCAUAGAGGGUGAGAAUCCCGUAUUUGGUUCAUUCUUUCUAGCUUUGUGAUACACUUUCAAAGAGUCGGAUUGUUUGGGAAUGCAGUCCAAAAUGGGUGGUAAAUUUCAUCUAAAGCUAAAUAUUGGCGAGAGACCGAUAGCGAACAAGUACCGUGAGGGAAAGAUGAAAAGAACUUUGAAAAGAGAGUUAAACAGUACGUGAAAUUGUCAAAAGGGAAGCGUUUGACACCAGUGUUGUUUUUCCGAAAAUCAAUUAAGAAGUGGCUUGAUUUUGUGUUGUAUUGACCUUAUCAGCUUUCUUCACUCUUUUUCGAGUCUUUCUUAAUGCACUUUUCGGGUUAACAAGUCAACAUCAAUUUCUUUUGUUGUAAAAGGGUAUUUGGAAGGUGGCUUUCUUUUCGGAGAAAGUGUUUAUAGCCUUAUACCUCUACAAUCGGAGAGAUUGAGGUCUGCAGCGUAGAUCCUUCGGGGCUAGAUACACUUGUGCUAAGUUAUAGCUUUUCAUAGACAACUUGUUGACUAUGUUUAGUCAUGUAGCUUACCCGCUUGUGCUAUUUUACCUACGCUUAGGAUGUUGAGUCAUCACACAUCUCU